rnacentral:rRNA from 1 species
UACGUAGGGUGCAAGCGUUAAUCGGAAUUACUGGGCGUAAAGCGUGCGCAGGCGGUUGUGCAAGACAGAUGUGAAAUCCCCGGGCUCAACCUGGGAAUUGCAUUUGUGACUGCACGGCUAGAGUGUGUCAGAGGGGGGUAGAAUUCCACGUGUAGCAGUGAAAUGCGUAGAGAUGUGGAGGAAUACCGAUGGCGAAGGCAGCCCCCUGGGCCAGUACUGACGCUCAUGCACGAAAGCGUGGGGAGCAAACAGG